AUUGCCUGUUGAAAAAAUUAUAUUUGCUAAUAAUAUUUUUAAUAACUUUUUCUUUACAGAUUAACUUAUGUGCUGUUUGAAAUUUGAUACAUUCCUUGGUUGUGUACUGUAAAUAUUAGAUUCAGAUAUGGUGUCAAAUGAAUGAAAAAUGAGCGAUUAAAUAUAUAUAUAUAUAACAGAAAUGAUCUGACAUGAUUAUAGUGAUGUGAUUUGUAUGAAAUGGUACAAGCAUGUGAUGCUUAAGCACGUGCAAACUUACAUUAACUGAAGGAUAAUAAGAGGCUGUUUCUUUCAAGUGCACAAAAUAAUCUGUAUUGACCUAAUAAUACUGCAUAAUAACAGGAACCACCUACAUUUGUGCUUAACAAUAACAAUUCGCAUGCAAUCGCUGUGGCGAAGCAUUUCAAUUGUAAAUACAUUCUCUCAUAAAUAUAAGUUCCUAAUAUGUAUAACUUACAAAUGAAAGCACGUGAAACCAAUUCUUGCCACUAUUAUAGUUUAAAAGCUAAUAAGCUUUUGUUUUUAAUAAUUAUCAAAAUGAUAAAAUCUCUUUACAAAUUCAGAAUAAUUUCUACUUUUUAUUUAUAUUUUUUAUAAGUUUUUUUUCUGUAAGCAAAAAGCAGGUACCUAUAAAUGUUGGUUAUUAUAUGGCUAAGCUAUUUUUAAUAAACAAUAUGAUUGUUGAUUAUAUAUAAAAGUUAUUAUGAAAAAAAAAUACUUAAUAUAUUGAUUAAAAUUGAUAUUGGUAUUAUAUAAGUUUCUGUUAUAUGUAACUGACAUACUAAUUGCAUUUAAUACAACUAUGAAUUAUAUGCUACUUUUUUAGAAAAAUAAAAAUA